CGUAGGUGAACCUGCGGAGGGAUCAUUACACAAAUAUGAAGGCGGGCUGGAACCUCUCGGGGUUACAGCCUUGCUGAAUUAUUCACCCUUGUCUUUUGCGUACUUCUUGUUUCCUUGGUGGGUUCGCCCACCACUAGGACAAACAUAAACCUUUUGUAAUUGCAAUCAGCGUCAGUAACAAAUUAAUAAUUACAACUUUCAACAACGGAUCUCUUGGUUCUGGCAUCGAUGAAGAACGCAGCGAAAUGCGAUAAGUAGUGUGAAUUGCAGAAUUCAGUGAAUCAUCGAAUCUUUGAACGCACAUUGCGCCCUUUGGUAUUCCAAAGGGCAUGCCUGUUCGAGCGUCAUUUGUACCCUCAAGCUUUGCUUGGUGUUGGGCGUCUUGUCUCUAGCUUUGCUGGAGACUCGCCUUAAAGUAAUUGGCAGCCGGCCUACUGGUUUCGGAGCGCAGCACAAGUCGCACUCUCUAUCAGCAAAGGUCUAGCAUCCAUUAAGCCUUUUUUUCAACUUUUGACCUCGGAUCAGGUAGGGAUACCCGCUGAACUUAAGCAUAUCAAUAAGCGGAGGAAAAGAAACCAACAGGGAUUGCCCUAGUAACGGCGAGUGAAGCGGCAACAGCUCAAAUUUGAAAUCUGGCUCUUUUAGAGUCCGAGUUGUAAUUUGCAGAGGGCGCUUUGGCUUUGGCAGCGGUCCAAGUUCCUUGGAACAGGACGUCAUAGAGGGUGAGAAUCC
rnacentral:rRNA from 1 species